rnacentral:lncRNA from 1 species
GGGUUGCAGGUGUUCGCAGGGUCCUGAGGGAGUUUGAAGCCUUAUUCUGGGGGAGGGUCACUCACUCUCACCCCACUUGAGCACCUGGAUCAGCCAGGCACUAGUUCUGCUGGGCAGGUUUUGGUCUCCGCCUCCCCCUUUGAGUCCUUCGGUACUGUCGCCUCUGGCAGCUGGAGGUGGCACACUCAGAGACCCUUGGGGGCGCCUGGCUGGCUGCUGCGGCCAUGGCUCCAGCAUUCACCUGCCCAGGUGCCACCUGCCCUGGAACAGGUGGACACAUGGAGCCCUGCCCUCUGAGCUCAGUGCUUGUUUAGAUUUAAUAACCAGUUGUCAAGUGACAGGUCAGCAGCAGGAUCAUUUCUCACAUCCCUCUGGGGUUAGGGCUCUAUGACGUCUGCAGGUCCCUUUAACUCUGCUUCUGUCAUUACUCUAUGCUAGAAGCAAGUAGUGUUUCUGUUUAGAACCCCACGUCACAGGGUGGGCAGUCUGUGCAGUGGCAGUCCACCUCUGGGGGUGUGGGACUUGAGCCUAUGGCUCCUUGACCAGCCAGGCACCCAGCUAUGCAAGCCCCACACCUGGUGGGCACCCCACCUCCCCACUCCCCGGGCUGGGCCAUGGGGAGCCACUGGGCAGGCAGCUGAAGUAUGGCUCCCAUGAGGUCCCUCCCUCUUUAAUGCCUUUUGGGCCACUGUGAGUGGGGCCAGAAAACAGAUUUUGAAGCAACUGCAUUCCCUUUUAGACCUAGUUUCUUCUGUUUUAGUGUAGACAUGGCCUCGGGGCCUGAGAGCCUACAGCCAGGCUGCUGGGGCUGGGGGCGGGGUAGGAGGCACGGUAGUUGGUGGGUGGGAAGGGGGUGUGGAUGGUGGUGGUAAGAAUUCACCUGGCGGGGUGGGUUGGGGUCCUGAGGAGGGCAAGGGUCCCAGGGGGCAUUAGCAAUGCUGGACGAUGCCUUUCCUGUCCUCAGUUUCUUUCCUCUCCCUGUGGGACAGGAACCUCAGGGGCCAAGGGCAAGGUGGUGUAGCCCUGCAUGGCUGAGGUUUGGCUCUGCGCUCAUCCCUCCUUGUGCACCCCUUCGAGUGCAUACCUGCGAUGCCCCUCCUGGGCCCCAGUUGCUUCUGCCCUGGCCUGGAGCCGUCAGCAGGAGGACCUAGCUUUAAUAAAGAGUGGAGAAAUGAGCUUUCUGACUGGAUUCCAUGUUGUUGGCGCUCCUCAAUGCCCUCAGGGAGGCUCUGCAAGGUCUCAGGCCUUUUUUUCUGGGAAAACAAACAAACAAACAAAAACCCAACUUGUUUUUUUUUUAGGAGUUUCUCCUUUCUGAAACUAGAAUUGGCCUGUCUGGAGUCAGCCCAAGAUGAGCUUUGGUUCCUGCUACCUGUGUCUACCAAGUCUUUCUGCGUGUCCCCAGCGGGCACCCCACAUUGCCACGUACUCUGUAAUACACCUAUCUCGGGACCUUCUUAGGCUUGGGAUUGUUUUCUCCAGUCUUCCCACGGUCAGAGGAGAGGGACCAGGUGCCCUUCCUGGGGGUCCAGACAUGUGCUGAGUCAUAGACGUUUCCUCAGAGGCCUCAACACUUCAUAGGUUUAGCCAGGCUAAUCUGCUCUGUGUCAGGGCAAAAUGCAUCUCCCUAGCACCCUCAAAUACCUUCCUUUGAACUGAUUUAUUGACCACCUUCUCACCACAUGAUAUCCCCACAUCCCAUAAUCAGAUCUGACCUCCCAUUCUUUCCCAAUGGAUUUGGAAAAUAUGAACUAUGAAGUAAACUCUCAGAUAUGAUUUGAAGGCAUUAGAAUAGAAACCAGCAUUUCAGUUAAAAAUUUUAAAAAGGCUUUGAGUGGGCAGAUGGAUGUUAAGAUCUGGUUAAAAAAAAAUGAUGGCCUUGAGGAUCUUAAGGUCUAUUCAGAAAAGGUAAAUUAUUCCCUGAUAGAGCUUACAUAUGUCUGGCCAAAUUCUUUUUUAUUUAGGGAAGGGGGUGGGUGCAGCAAUCCUGAUGGUCAGAAAAGCAGCAGACAGCCCUUCUGGUUUUGGGAGGACUUUUAAAUUUCUGGAGUCCCCGAUUGAUUCCCCAAGUGUCAGUUUAGCAUCUUUAUCACUGCCAAGGAAUAGAAGACCCCAUGAGAUGUGACCCAUGGAAGGUGGUACUUCAGAGCCGUGAGGCUCUGAGCACCCCUCUGGCCUCCACCUACCUUUGUUAUUUCCCUGUUUCUCUAGUGCUUGCAUUUCCCCAACUUCCUACCUUUCUCCUGACCCUUUCAUUUGAUCUCUUCAGACACCUCCUUCUCUUUUUUUCUCUCUAAUUGGCUACAUAUGGAAUAAAGUAUUUUGAAUUUUUUGGUUAUAUUUAUUAAAUAAAGCUUUAUGAUCC